rnacentral:rRNA from 1 species
AUUGAACGCUGGCGGCAUGCCUUACACAUGCAAGUCGAACGGUAACAGGGAGCUUGCUCCGCUGACGAGUGGCGAACGGGUGAGUAAUGCGUCGGAACGUGCCGAGUAGUGGGGGAUAACGCAUCGAAAGGUGUGCUAAUACCGCAUACGUACUGAGGUAGAAAGUGGGGGACCUUCGGGCCUCACGCUAUUCGAGCGGCCGACGUCUGAUUAGCUAGUUGGUGGGGUAAAGGCUCACCAAGGCGACGAUCAGUAGCGGGUCGGAGAGGAUGACCCGCCACACUGGGACGGAGACACGGCGCAGACUCCUACGGGAGGCAGCAGUGGGGAAUUUUGGACAAUGGGCGCAAGCCUGAUCCAGCCAUGCCGCGUGUCUGAAGAAGGCCUUCGGGUUGUAAAGGACUUUUGUCCGGGAGCAAAUGCUGGUGGCUAACAUCCACCGGAGCUGAGAGUACCGGAAGAAUAAGCACCGGCUAACUACGUGCCAGCAGCCGCCGUAACAC